GACGUAGGGCGCAAGCGUUGUCCGGAUUUACUGGGCGUAAAGAGCGUGUAGGCGGCCAAACAGGUCCGUUGUGAAAACUGGAGGCUUAACCUCCAGACGUCGACGGAAACAGUAUGGCUAGAGUCCGGAAGAGGAGAGUGGAAUUCCUGGUGUAGCGGUGAAAUGCGCAGAUAUCAGGAAGAACACCAAUGGCGAAGGCAGCUCUCUGGGACGGUACUGACGCUGAGACGCGAAAGCGUGGGGAGCGAACAGG
rnacentral:rRNA from 1 species